AAAUUGAAGAGUUUGAUCAUGGCUCAGAUUGAACGCUGGCGGCAGGCCUAACACAUGCAAGUCGAACGGUAGCACAGAGAGCUUGCUCUCGGGUGACGAGUGGCGGACGGGUGAGUAAUGUCUGGGAAACUGCCCGAUGGAGGGGGAUAACUACUGGAAACGGUAGCUAAUACCGCAUAACGUCGCAAGACCAAAGUGGGGGACCUUCGGGCCUCACACCAUCGGAUGUGCCCAGAUGGGAUUAGCUAGUAGGUGGGGUAACGGCUCACCUAGGCGACGAUCCCUAGCUGGUCUGAGAGGAUGACCAGCCACACUGGAACUGAGACACGGUCCAGACUCCUACGGGAGGCAGCAGUGGGGAAUAUUGCACAAUGGGCGCAAGCCUGAUGCAGCCAUGCCGCGUGUAUGAAGAAGGCCUUCGGGUUGUAAAGUACUUUCAGCGAGGAGGAAGGCGUUGUGGUUAAUAACCACAGCGAUUGACGUUACUCGCAGAAGAAGCACCGGCUAACUCCGUGCCAGCAGCCGCGGUAAUACGGAGGGUGCAAGCGUUAAUCGGAAUUACUGGGCGUAAAGCGCACGCAGGCGGUUUGUUAAGUCAGAUGUGAAAUCCCCGGGCUCAACCUGGGAACUGCAUUUGAAACUGGCAAGCUUGAGUCUCGUAGAGGGGGGUAGAAUUCCAGGUGUAGCGGUGAAAUGCGUAGAGAUCUGGAGGAAUACCGGUGGCG
rnacentral:rRNA from 1 species